rnacentral:rRNA from 1 species
AGAAUUGAUCUGGUCAGGACGAACGCUGGCGGCGUGCCUAACACAUGCAAGUCGAGCGAGGAGAUCCUUCGGGAUGAUCCUAGCGGCGGACGGGUGAGUAACACGUGGGCAACCUGCCUCAUAGAGAGGAAUAGCCUUCCGAAAGGGAGAUUAAUACCUCAUAACAUUGCAGUUUCGCAUGGAACAGCAAUUAAAGGAGCAAUCCGCUAUGAGAUGGGCCCGCGGCGCAUUAGCUAGUUGGUGAGGUAACGGCUCACCAAGGCGACGAUGCGUAGCCGACCUGAGAGGGUGAUCGGCCACAUUGGGACUGAGACACGGCCCAGACUCCUACGGGAGGCAGCAGUGGGGAAUAUUGCACAAUGGGGGAAACCCUGAUGCAAGCAACGCCGCGUGAGUGAUGACGGCCUUCGGGUUGUAAAGCUCUGUCUUCAGGGACGAUAAUGACGGUACCUGAGGAGGAAGCCACGGCUAACUACGUGCCAGCAGCCGC